UGACAUUUAGUGUUAUCUACUCACUUGUU
rnacentral:piRNA from 1 species